rnacentral:rRNA from 1 species
UGCGUAGGCGGAUUAAUAAGUCAGUGGUGAAAUCUUUCGGCUCAACCGAGAAACUGCCAUUGAUACUGUUAAUCUUGAGUUCGGUUGAGGUAGGCGGAAUGUGUAAUGUAGCGGUGAAAUGCUUAGAUAUUACACAGAACACCAAUUGCGUAGGCAGCUUACUAGACCGACACUGACGCUGAGGCACGAAAGCGUGGGGAGCGAACAGGAUUAGGUACCCUGGUAGUCC